CCAGCGUUCCGUAAGAGCCUAUGCGGUCACUGAACCUAUCCAAGGAUUAAAGAAUUAGUCAGCUCCAGGUCUCAGAUUCAGCCUGGCUCUCCAGGAUGCAAAUGACUUCCCAGUUUCCUAACGUUCAUGUCAUAUCCAAAGCUGAACUCAUUUCUACUAAAGAUUUUACACGUACGGACAUCCUGGUUGAAAACAGCUUCACAAUUACACCAUUUCUAUUCUCUAAAUACAUUUUUUAGUUGUUGGUUGAUGGCAACAGAUCUUUGCCAUUGCCCUUUGCUCCUGGGUCAUGGAUUGCACUGUAGAUUAUUUCAUUAUAUUGCCAAAAUUAGCUGUAUUCACUGUGUAGGAUUUACAAGUGAGUAGUUAAAAGACAAAGAAGACGGAUCCAUCACUCCAUAUGUUUCUCACAUAUUCCACGUUGGAAUAAACUAUAUGGAAACUAACAAAGAGGGAGAGACAGUAAUGUUUUAGCAGAAGAGGAAUGGCAGAGUAUUUGCUGGUGCGAAGGAGCAUUAUCUAGAUUAAGACUUCAGAAAUCCCUUUGCCUUUCCCGAAGGGGAGUGGAGCUGUGAACCGAACCAGGAGCUGAAUUAUGGAAGUGCAUUGGUAAAAUACUCAUGAUCCCAAUUCAGAGACACUGGAACCAAGAAUAAUAAAAAAAAGACUAUAAUAAAGUCAUUGGGAAAAUGACAGGUUACAGGGCUGUGUGAUUUGGAAAAUGAUUGCUAUUAAAUUGACUUUUGUUCCCCUG